rnacentral:rRNA from 1 species
GAUGAACGCUGGCGGCGUGCCUAAUACAUGCAAGUCGAGCGAACAGAUAAGGAGCUUGCUCCUUUGACGUUAGCGGCGGACGGGUGAGUAACACGUGGGUAACCUACCUAUAAGACUGGGAUAACUUCGGGAAACCGGAGCUAAUACCGGAUAACAUUUGGAACCGCAUGGUUCUAAAGUGAAAGAUGGUUUUGCUAUCACUUAUAGAUGGACCCGCGCCGUAUUAGCUAGUUGGUAAGGUAGCGGCUUACCAAGGCAACGAUACGUAGCCGACCUGAGAGGGUGAUCGGCCACACUGGAACUGAGACACGGUCCAGACUCCUACGGGAGGCAGCAGUAGGGAAUCUUCCGCAAUGGGCGAAAGCCUGACGGAGCAACGCCGCGUGAGUGAUGAAGGGUUUCGGCUCGUAAAACUCUGUUAUUAGGGAAGAACAAAUGUGUAAGUAACUGUGCACGUCUUGACGGUACCUAAUCAGAAAGCCACGGCUAACUACGUG